UCCAGUGCACUCACCUAUCCACUAAACAGCAACUUCAAUGUUGACAGAUUUUAUUCGUUUUUUUUUUUUACCACAGUUGUUUUUUUUAAAGCACGUAAUCUAGGCAAAAAUAGAUUAUUUUUGCCUAGAUUAGGUGUUUUAAAAAAAAUAAAAAUAAAAUCUGUCAACAUUGAAGUUGCUGUUUAGUGGAUAGGUGAGUGCGCUGGA
rnacentral:miRNA from 1 species